rnacentral:misc_RNA from 1 species
GAACUGCGAUAAGUAAUGUGAAUUGCAGAAUUCAGUGAAUCAUCGAGUCUUUGAACGCACAUUGCGCCCCCUGGCAUUCCGGGGGGCAUGCCUGUCCGAGCGUCAUUGCUGCCCUUCAAGCCCGGCUUGUGUGUUGGGUCGUCGUCCCCCCCGGGGGACGGACCCGAAAGGCAGCGGCGGCACCGUGUCCGGUCCUCGAGCGUAUGGGGCUUUGUCACCCGCUCGAUUAGGACCGGCCGUGCGCCCGCCGGCGUCAAACCCCAAUCUUUCUAAGGUUGACCUCGGAUCAGGUAGGGAUACCCGCUGAACUUAAGC